CGAGUGAUAACAAAAUCGGACAACCGCACAACAAAGAACACCCCAAAUAUUUAAAAGUGAAUUGCCUCUUGAAAGAAAAAAUGCUGCAGGAAAUGGAAUGUUUCAUACUCUUCGCUCUCUUUACUUGUCUGGAUUGUGUUUCUGCGAAUAACCAGUGUGGAGCAAAUAGCAUGGGAGAUGAUUGUCGAGUGAUUCAAUUCAAAGAAGGAACAAAAAACAAGAUCUUAAAAAAUCACGUUAUUAGGACAGACCAAGUGCAAGAUAAGAAUAUCUGCGAGUUGAGAUGCUAUCUUGAGCCAAACUGCGUGUCUUACAACUACGGUCCACAGGGAGGUGGAACAUUCACAUGCGAGGUGAAUAACGCGACCCACUUACAAGACUUCGAUUCCU